AGUGGCUUUGUCCUUGUCCUGUACAGUUUUCGUGCAAUCUCUGGGGGUAGUCAGAGACACUUCUCUGUUUGGGUCCGAGGAGACCACCAUCCAGAGGCACUCCUUGCCUGGGACCAUUAGUGUGUCGUUCAGUUUUAGUAGCAGCACCAACCCUACCAAUAUCUUACCAAAAAAUGAAAGAAUUUCCCUUUUUUGCCAUCACCAACACUCAUUAAAAAGCACUUCAAAAUCAUCCAUUUUCUAAAAAUUUUUUUUGUUGUUGUUGUUAUUUUCUAGUGGCCAUAAAAAGAGUACCAUGGGAAUAAAAACCUUUUUUAAAGCCAACAUUUGGUGAAAACUAACAAUACUCCUGGCAUGAAGUUAAAGUUUUAUUUCUUUUUUUUUUUUAAAUAAAAUUAAGGCUCAAAUGUUCUAUUAAACUCUUAUUGCUUAUGUAUAUUAUAUUAAGGCUUAUAAAUACACCUGGUAAAUUAAAUUCACCCUGGAUUGAAUUAACACCUGCUAUAUGAGUUAUUUGCUUUAUGUAAUCAGUAAUCUCAAGGUUUCUCCUCUUUCUCUGGAAACACAAUUUAAAUAUUAACCUAAUCUUUAAACUGCUGCUGCUGCUUUCUGACAUUUGGAAACUGGUCAUCCAUGCAAAAAAGGCAAAUAUGGAUAUAUUAAUGAAAAGGCAGCUUCUUAAAAAUCUUAAAGUGUGCAACUCAAUGAAUCGGGAGGAAAAAUGAUAAAAAGCAGCAGGAAAGUCAAGUCUUUUGUGUCACUUUCUAGGGAAAACAAUGCUGGUCAUCUGCCAACAACACCUCCAGUCUGAGAGCCCCGCUGAAGUGGACUGCCAAUUUCAAAAGAGUCUUUGUGUUUUCUUCAUGUGGCCAACAGAGGCAGACUGCUGAGAUGUUCCUUCAAGAGAGAACCUUCUGGGAGGAGCACAGUGAGCUGACUGCUGCUGCGAAUCCACCUCCAUGCCAUGCUGAGGCCAUGCUUUCCCCAGGUGGCUCCCAGCUGAUGGCUACCUACAUCCAGGCAGCCCCCUCUAGGAUCACAGGAAGAUCUCAACCCUUCCCCUGCUCUGCUGACCUCUGGACACACGGUAACCAGCCACGUGUAAUGACAGAUGAGAGCGUGCAACCUUGAACUCACUGCCUUUCAGUACAUGUAGGGAACAAAUAUUAGUUAUAAAAGGUUACCUAAAGGAUAGCCAUUCCCUAAAAUCCAUUCCCAAAUAAUGGCUGUAAUGUAAACAUGCCUCAGACCCACGGUAUGCUCUCAUUGUUAAACUGCUUUUAUUGAAUUGUUGUUUUUUUGUGUGUGUGGAGGAGACCAAAAUAAGUCUAUGUUGAGAUCCUUAUAUGGGCCAACCAUGUGAAAUUCAAGUAUUAUACGUAUUUAUAGAAACCAGCUUAAAUCUCUUCUAGAGAGUAUAACUAUAAAUCAAUGUGAAUAAACCAACAAACAAAUACAACUUGAGAAGUCAUCGACCAUCCAGUGGUGUUUUAUAAUGAUAGGAAUAUAAAAGAAAAGACAAGGAAUUAGUAUUUUUAAACAUCUACUAUACACCAGGCCCUUUUUUAGGUGCUUUACUAACAUUAUUUCAUUUAAUUCCUUCUUCAUAUCAUCCCUAUGAGGUUGGCAUUAUUAGUCCCAUUUUACAGAUGAGAAAAUUGGGCAGAGAGGUCAAUAAUUGUCUAAAAUGGCUACCUUGGGAUUCAAACUCAGGAGUGUCUGGCUCUAAUACCUGUUCUCUGCCCAGGAUACCUCACUGUUAUGUUACCCAUGAAAUUAUUGUUUCUUGGUUUCUCAGAAGCAGUCUAGAUGAAAACCACAGAGUAUAAGCCAAACUACUUCCCUCGUCCAGGUGAGGUUUACUUGGCAUUUCUUGUCAUAAUAUGUGCUCCUGCUGCCACCUGCUGGCAACCUCAUACAUCCUGCUUUUUCUUGUUAAAUCCCUCAAUCUUUGUAAAGGACAAACCCAUCUGGCCCCCCAAAAGGCAAGAAGCUCCAUGAGGACAACCAGCUGGAAAAUCUUCCCAAAGUUGGUGAAGUAUAAGGGAGUAAUAAUUCUUAUCUACAUCCCCGGGGGAUAAACCCUUUACCUUUCAAGGCUGUUCUCCACUUUCAUUAGAUUUUAUCUGUCUCCAGGUACUGAAGGAAAGCACAGGUCUUGUUAUCCAGACCAUGCAAAUUUGGGUGGUGGCCUCUUGCUAAAUCAGUGUAUUCCGUGGCCCUAGUAUGUAACACCGAUCACCACAUUGAUAACUAACCAACCAGCAGGUAACAAACAGUGCCUGGACCACAAAGAGCCUAAGUGGCCGGCAGAGUGGCUUGGCUCCUCCUGGAAAGUGGUGGUGCCAUGGGGACCCGGGCUCCUGCGUUCCCUGUCCUUCACCUGGGCAGCUAGGACCACGAGGGACUCCGUGCCCUUCGUCAAAGACAUCACACAUUCACACGCCCUGCAAAACAUAUUGAUCUCGCAUCUGGGUGGAUGGUUAGAUUUUUGUUUUUCUUUGUUACCCUUUCCUUGACAAAAUGGGGAACCCGGGGGUGGGAGAGCUUAUUUCUGACUGCUGGGGAAG